rnacentral:lncRNA from 1 species
GAGGAGGAGGAGGCCAUCAGAGAGGCUGGUCUUACUGGGAUGACUGGUGGCUCCUCCCCCUCAUCUCUGGGGAGCUGGAACCCACACUUUGAUGACACCCCCCCCAGAACAUGUGUCCAAGCCCAUGCACUGGACCUGGGCAUACCUAGACCAUGGUGGAGGCUCUAAACCAGUGGUUCUCAACCUGUGGGUCACGACCCCUGUAGGGGACUCGAAUGACCCUUUCACAAGGGUCACACAUCAGAUAUCCUGUGUAUCCGAUAUUUACCUGACGAUUCAUAACGGUAGCAAAAAUUGACAAUUACGGAGUAGCAACAAAAAUAAUUUUGUGGUUGGGGUUCACCACUGCAUGAGGAAGAUUAAAGGGUUGCAGCAUCAGGGAGGUUGAGAACCACUGCUCUGUAGGCCUCCUGGUUGAAUUCAGGCUGUCUCGAGUAAGGAUGGUUUCUCCUAACUGUCCCAAGUCUAGAAGAGUAGAAAGCGAUCAGGGUGGAGGAGGGAGAGUUCCCGAGUUCUCUGUGGCUGUCUCCAACUCAAGUGUUCAGGUCCCAAGAUGGGGCCUCUGAAGAGGGCUGCUGAGAAAAAGGAAUAGGGGUCACGGCCACCCCAGCUUUGAUCUCUUUCCUUUUCUUCUCCUCCUUCCUAGCCUUCUUUUCUCUGCUGCUUGCUGCCUUGUCUCCCAUCCCAGCCCUUAGGCUGAGCCUGGAGCCCAGGGACACGAUAAGCCCCACAGGAGGUGUGGAGGGAAGAGCAGGGCAGGUGGAGUAGCCAGAGAAGACACCAGGGAGAUCCUGCUCCUGUGGACUUGGGCAGCCCAGGCUCACAGGCACCUGCUCCCUGCAUCCUCUGGGGCCAUGGUGUGCUUACAUGGGCUGCUUCCCAGGUGUGAGCGUGUGAGUGAGUGAGUGUGUGUGUGUGUGUGUGUGUGUGUGUGUAUGUGUGUGUGUGUGUGUGUGUGUGUGUGUGUGUGUGCAUUUGCAUCUGCUAAGAAUGAAGCAGGACCUUGAGGAAGGAAGAGACUGAUGGUAGGGACUCAAGCCACAGUAGAGAGGUCUCCUAGACUCCUCAUUGGGCUCACAGAGUAGGCUCCACACAGUGGCUUCCAAACACUGUGUAGAAGAGCUAGUGUCCCCUAAAGAGGCAGAGACCAUGGCUUUGUGGGCACCAUGGGCCUAAUUCAGCUCCUUCUUGAUGUCCUGUUGGAGGGUCUUGCUUCAAGAGCAUGCCCUCGUAGGGCCUUGAGGACCAGUGUGAAGAUGCAAGAUAUAAAUAUGUAUACAUAUAUAAAUAUAUUUUUAAUUACAUGUUGUGUCCCAGUGGCUCCAGACUUGCAGUUUGCCUAGCGUAUUCCAUUGUUUGAAACUACUUCCUGGUCCAUCCUGAUAUGACACUUUCCAGCUGUCUGUCUGUCUGUCUUAAACGCAGAUCUCUGCUACUUUUUCAAACAUGGAAAGAAACCCUUUUUAUUAUUAUCAUUAUUAUUAUUUUAUUUUUUAAAGAGACAACAGUAAAGCCUAAAAUCUAAAAGGCUGAGCACCUUCCUGUGGGGGAUAACUCAAGCAGGAAGUAGGGGACUUGCAGGCACCCACAGACCCUGACUCCCCGGGACAGAGCCUCUCCUGCUGCGGGAGGAACGGCCUAUCAAAGCCUGCCUCUGAUGAAUGAACAGGAGGCAAAGCCUCUCUCAAACUUGUGUUGUCCUGUCUGGCCAUGAUGCUCUGAUAUUGAGCCUUUUUAGGCUCCGCCCACCUGUCAGGACAAGUUGGUCCUUGUUUUCCACUCAAGUGGCCUGCUGGUCACUGCCCUCCUCAUGAACUGGCCGUAUUGCCUAAGCUCUGGGACCACAGCUCCUGUCGGGCUCUUGAACUCCCCUGGACAACCAACCCCUUCCACCAACCAUGGGGAACCUCUUCCCCCACCCCC